GCCUGCAGGGCUGAUGUAGACAUGGGGAGAGAAUGAAAUUAAAAAGGAUUCCCUCGCCCCCAUCUCGACACCCCCGCCCCGCAGUCCCUCGCUCCUGCUUCUUCCCCUCUCCCCUCUCCCCUCCCCUCACUCAGUGCUUCCACAUGUCUCUCCUCCCCCCAGUCCAGAUGGGAGCUGGCUCCUUCAGAAAGGGGGCUCAGAACAGGGUGUGGGGAGCUACCUCUCUCUGCCUCCCCCCACCACAUCUGUCUGCAGGGCUGGGAGCCCCCACGAUUCAGUGGUCCUGAGCCUUCUGAAGUUAGGCUUCUGCCUGGUGGUGGGGAUCCUGACAUCAAGGAUGGGACACCCUGG
rnacentral:lncRNA from 1 species